rnacentral:rRNA from 1 species
AUGAACGCUGGCGGCGUGCUUAACACAUGCAAGUCGAACGAGAAAGCUCCUUCGGGAGUGAGUACAGUGGCGAACGGGUGCGUAACACGUUGGUGACCUGCCUUGAGGAGGGGGACAACCGUGGGAAACCACGGCUAAUACCCCNGGAUGUCUAAACUGUUAGAGGGUUUAGACUAAAACUUCGGUGCCUCAAGAGGGGCCUGCGGGCUAUCAGCUUGUUGGUGGGGUAAUGGCCUACCAAGGCUAAGACGGCUAGGGGGCGUGAGAGCGCGACCCCCCACAAUGGAACUGAGACACGGUCCAUACUCCUACGGGAGGCAGCAGUGAGGAAUAUUGCGCAAUGGGGGAAACCCUGACGCAGCAACGCCGCGUGAACGAUGAAGGCCUUCGGGUCGUAAAGUUCUUUUCUAAGGGAAGAUAGUGACGGUACCUUAGGAAUAAGUCCCGGCUAACUACGUGCCAGCAGCCGCGGUAAAACGUAGGGGGCGAGCGUUAUCCGGAUUUAUUGGGCGUAAAGCGCACGUAGGUGGCGCUGUAAGUUAGACGUGAAAGCUCUCGGCUCAACUGAGAGAGGUCGUUUAAAACUGCAGUGCUUGAGGUUGGAAGAGGAGAGCAGAAUUCCCGGUGUAGUGGUGGAAUGCGUAGAUAUCGGGAGGAAUACCAGUGGCGAAGGCGGCUCUCUAGUCUACACCUGACACUGAGGUGCGAAAGCGUGGGUAGCGAACGGGAUUAGAUACCCCGGUAGUCCACGCUGUAAACGAUGGAUACUAGGUGUAGGGGGUCAUUUAACCCCUCUGUGCCGAAGCAAACGCGUUAAGUAUCCCGCCUGGGGA